rnacentral:rRNA from 1 species
UACGGGGCAGCAGUAGGGAAUCUUCCGCAAUGGACGAAAGUCUGACGGAGCAACGCCGCGUGAGUGAUGAAGGUUUUCGGAUCGUAAAGCUCUGUUGUUAGGGAAGAACAAGUACCGUUCGAAUAGGGCGGUACCUUGACGGUACCUAACCAGAAAGCCACGGCUAACUACGUGCCAGCAGCCGCGGUAAUACGUAGGUGGCAAGCGUUGUCCGGAAUUAUUGGGCGUAAAGGGCUCGCAGGCGGUUUCUUAAGUCUGAUGUGAAAGCCCCCGGCUCAACCGGGGAGGGUCAUUGGAAACUGGGGAACUUGAGUGCAGAAGAGGAGAGUGGAAUUCCACGUGUAGCGGUGAAAUGCGUAGAGAUGUGGAGGAACACCAGUGGCGAAGGCGACUCUCUGGUCUGUAACUGACGCUGAGGAGCGAAAGCGUGGGGAGCGAACAGGAUUAGAUACCUGGGUAGUCCA